rnacentral:rRNA from 1 species
AACCAGCACCUCGAGUGGUCAGGAGGUUUAUUGGGCCUAAAGCAUCCGUAGCCGGUUGUUUAAGUUUUCGGUUAAAUCUAUGCGCUUAACGUAUAGGCUGCCGAAAAUACUGGACAGCUAGGGAGUGGGAGAGGUACACGGUACUCGAUAGGAAGGGGUAAAAUCCUUUGAUCUAUUGAUGACCACCUGUGGCGAAGGCGGUGUACCAGAACACGUGCGACGCUGAGGGAUGAAAGCUGGGGGAGCAAACCGG